UAUAAUGGGUUCAAAUUAAAAUCUUCGUAUGGAGGCCCGUCUGUUCCCGAUGAUAUUGCAGCUGUUGAGGAUCAUAUCCCUGAAAAACCCAUGAAGGAUAUUGUCUCCCUUAAGAGUAUGAUAGAAAAAGGACAUUUGAGUUAUGUGAAUCUUGAGGACAUGUACCUGGAUCAUGUCACGGCUUCUUUUGAUUUAAAUGCAAUCCGCAAUGCAGAUUUCGGGGUCGGAUAUGAUGCCAUGUAUGGUG
rnacentral:misc_RNA from 1 species